rnacentral:rRNA from 1 species
ACUGCGAAGGGGGGACGGAGAAGGCUAUGUUGGCCGGGCGACGGUUGUCCCGGUUUAAGCGUGUAGGCUGGUUUUCCAGGCAAAUCCGGAAAAUCAAGGCUGAGGCGUGAUGACGAGGCACUACGGUGCUGAAGCAACAAAUGCCCUGCUUCCAGGAAAAGCCUCUAAGCAUCAGGUAACAUCAAAUCGUACCCCAAACCGACACAGGUGGUCAGGUAGAGAAUACCAAGGCGCUUGAGAGAACUCGGGUGAAGGAACUAGGCAAAAUGGUGCCGUAACUUCGGGAGAAGGCACGCUGAUAUGUAGGUGAAGUCCCUCGCGGAUGGAGCUGAAAUCAGUCGAAGAUACCAGCUGGCUGCAACUGUUUAUUAAAAACACAGCACUGUGCAAACACGAAAGUGGACGUAUACGGUGUGACGCCUGCCCGGUGCCGGAAGGUUAAUUGAUGGGGUCAGCGCAAGCGAAGCUCUUGAUCGAAGCCCCGGUAAACGGCGGCCGUAACUAUAACGGUCCUAAGGUAGCGAAAUUCCUUGUCGGGUAAGUUCCGACCUGCACGAAUGGCGUAAUGAUGGCCAGGCUGUCUCCACCCGAGACUCAGUGAAAUUGAACUCGCUGUGAAGAUGCAGUGUACCCGCGGCAAGACGGAAAGACCCCGUGAACCUUUACUAUAGCUUGACACUGAACAUUGAGCCUUGAUGUGUAGGAUAGGUGGGAGGCUUUGAAGUGUGGACGCCAGUCUGCAUGGAGCCGACCUUGAAAUACCACCCUUUAAUGUUUGAUGUUCUAACGUGGACCCGUGAUCCGGGUUGCGGACAGUGUCUGGUGGGUAGUUUGACUGGGGCGGUCUCCUCCUAAAGAGUAACGGAGGAGCACGAAGGUUGGCUAAUCCUGGUCGGACAUCAGGAGGUUAGUGCAAUGGCAUAAGCCAGCUUGACUGCGAGCGUGACGGCGCGAGCAGGUGCGAAAGCAGGUCAUAGUGAUCCGGUGGUUCUGAAUGGAAGGGCCAUCGCUCAACGGAUAAAAGGUACUCCGGGGAUAACAGGCUGAUACCGCCCAAGAGUUCAUAUCGACGGCGGUGUUUGGCACCUCGAUGUCGGCUCAUCACAUCCUGGGGCUGAAGUAGGUCCCAAGGGUAUGGCUGUUCGCCAUUUAAAGUGGUACGCGAGCUGGGUUUAGAACGUCGUGAGACAGUUCGGUCCCUAUCUGCCGUGGGCGCUGGAGAACUGAGGGGGGCUGCUCCUAGUACGAGAGGACCGGAGUGGACGCAUCACUGGUGUUCGGGUUGUCAUGCCAAUGGCACUGCCCGGUAGCUAAAUGCGGAAGAGAUAAGUGCUGAAAGCAUCUAAGCACGAAACUUGCCCCGAGAUGAGUUCUCCCUGACCCUUUAAGGGUCCUGAAGGAACGUUGAAGACGACGACGUUGAUAGGCCGGGUGUGUAAGCGCAGCGAUGCGUUGAGCUAACCGGUACUAAUGAACCGUGAGGCUUAACCUUACAACGCCGAAGGUGUUU